rnacentral:rRNA from 1 species
GACGAACGCUGGCGGCGCGCUUAACACAUGCAAGUCGAACGGAAAGGCCUGCUUUCCCUUGUGGAUUGCGGGUACUCGAGUGGCGAACGGGUGAGUAACACGUGAGUGAUCUGCCCCCAACUUGGGUAUAAGCCUGGGAAACUGGGUCUAAUUCCCGAUAGGACUGCAGGGUGGUGCCUGUGGUGGAAAACGAUUUUCUAGUGGUUGGGGAUGAGCUCGCGGCCUAUCAGCUGGUUGGUGGGGUAAUGGCCUACCAAGGCGGCGACGGGUAGCCGGCCUGAGAGGGUGGACAGCCACAUUGGGACUGAGAUACGGCCCCGACGCCUACGGGAGGCAGCAGUGGGGAAGAUUGCAGCAUGGGCGGAAGCCUGAUGCAGCGACGCGGCGUGGGGGAUGACGGCCUUCGGGUGGUAAACUCCUUGCGACCGCGAGGAAGCCACCUGGUUGGAAGGGUGGUGACGGUAGUGGUAGAAGAAGCACCGGCUAACUACGUG